UACGAAGGACCCGAGCGUUAUCCGGAUUUAUUGGGCUUAAAGGGUGCGUAGGCGGGUUAUUAAGUCAGUGGUGAAAGCCUACAGCUUAACUGUAGAAUUGCCAUUGAUACUGAUAAUCUUGAGUAUGAUUGAGGUGGGCGGAAUGUGUCAUGUAGCGGUGAAAUGCUUAGAUAUGACACAGAACACCGAUUGCGAAGGCAGCUCACUAAGCCAUAACUGACGCUGAUGCACGAAAGCGUGGGGAUCAAACAGG
rnacentral:rRNA from 1 species